ensembl:lncRNA
CAGAGCAAUCAGCACCAGAUCGAGUCGAGUGGCUCUCAGCCAAUUAAAUUACGCUGUUUGAUCACAUGACACCGUUAGCCAGCAGUGUGUCUCCUAAAAGAGAGCUGUUUAAAGGUGAGUGAUUAAGUUUUUCUCCUAAAUAGAGAUCAUUACAGAACGCCUAGUCCUACUUAAAAUCCCAUUUAUUAUUAUUUUUUUUUUUAUCAUCUACUCGAACUAAGGAAAACGUUUGACUAACUCAAAGACAAUUUCCACGCCUCCCCUGCCUGACUGCAGAGGCAGUUUUGAAUUUAGGAGCGCCAAGAUGGCAGCGGCAAACCCUGGCGGCUCUCCGGUGGAAAAGACCCGUCACCUUCUGGGAGAGGCGGCUCCCGUGGGAACAGCUCCCACCACCAAGUCCCUGAGUGAGUCUCUGUCCCCCAGCGUGAGCUCCAGCACUCUGUCCACGUCCACCUCCGCCUCCUCGCAGAUCUCCAGCACCACCUUUGAAAGCGUGAGAAGGAGCUGGCCACCAAGCUUUCUCUCAUCUCACCGAUCGGACGUGAUCCAUCCGUGACGAGCUUCAGCAGUGCCACCCUCACCCCUUCCUCUACCUGCCCCUCUCUCUCGGACUCGCGCUGUGGCUCCAUGGGCCAGAAG